UAAUAAUAAUAAUAAUAAUAAUAAUAAUAAUAAUAAUAAUAAUAAUAAUAAUAAUAAGAAUAUGCUUUUUCAUUUUCGGAUAGAUUUGCAUCACUUUUCGGAUAGAUUUGCAUCGUUCGGAUAGACUUGCAUCGGUACCGGAUAGAUUUGCAUCGCUAUCGGAUAGAUUUGCAUCGCUAUCGGAUAGAUUUGCAUCGCUAUCGGAUAGAUUUGCAUCAUUUCCGGCUGCCGUAGAGUUUUUUACAUUUCUAAAAUGGCACCUUGAGGCGGACGACGAGCAAGAGCAGCAUUGCACUGCUACUACUGUAUAUAGCUAUAUAAAUUGUUACUGCUUAUUUAUUUUAGACUGUUAUCCUGAUUUAUAUAUUUUGUUGAACACAUGACAAUUCGGCUAAUGGCUUAUCAUUGUAGUAAAGUGAGACGUAGAUAUGCGUAGUGUACCCUCCAAAUGUUUUAACCGUUCAAUUGGAAAUUGGUAGAACCGUUGGAAAUUGUUAAAAAUAUGUCGCCAUUGUUACGUCAGCGUGCAGCAAGAUUAAUUAUACUUGAAAAGAAUGGCGUCAAAUACUAUGACAUAUUGAAAACUGUUUACAAUAAACGAAGAAAAUGUCCAAAUUGUUACAUAUUUUUUCCAUAAUAACCUUCUUGCUUAUCAACUACCAUGUCAGACCAACAAUGCGUACGAACACUCAUUUGCAAUCCUGUUUUUAUGUAGCUACUUGUUUUUUAGGACGACAGCUUUAUGUAAAUGGACAGGUAGGCCUAAUUGCAACGCACGACAUGGUCUACAGACGGUAUCCUACAUUGGAGCAAAUUUGUUGCUAAAAGUCUGAACUCAUUUUCUUCACUGCCUAAAGUCUUAUUAUUUUUAUUAUUUUUAUUAGAUUCAUUUAUUUUUAUAUCGUCAAUUUAGCCAAUUGUAGUCGUACCCUUUUAUCAAAUCCUAUACAGGACUUUAUACGAGAGGCGACAUUUCCAUUUGUAUCCUUUUAAUUGACGUUAAAUAAAUUUAUGUCUGUUAA